rnacentral:misc_RNA from 1 species
GCACAACUGAUAUCCCGCAACCCAACAUCACCAUCGGGUCCCCAACUCUCACCUUCUCUCCUCUCAUUUCUACCAGCGUAGUCGAUCUCCAUGUAUAAAGCCGCGACCGCCCCAUUCGGAAUCGCCAGAUCUGCUGCUCUUCUCGGUGCUGUUCGCUUUUCCUCCUCCGCCUCUUCCUCACCUCUCUCCCGAGCCCUAGCCGCCUCUUCGCACCUUCCCCGGCCGUCGUCGUUGAUCGGUUCGAGAUCGAUCAGCUUUGCUCGAUCCUGCUCCCAGUUCCCCCGUCUCGCACCUGCUGCGUGGCGGCACGGUUCGGAUUGGGGGUCUCCGAUCAGCCUUCGAGCCCAGUCCCGGAGCUCCGCCGCCUUGAUCCAGCGCUUCGAGCGGAAGAUCGCUACCAUGGCUGCCGAUCAUCCUUUCAAGGACAUAUUGACCAGUCUCCCAAAGCCCAGUGGCGGUGAAUUCGGAAAGUACUACAGCUUCUCUGCUCUUAAUGACCCCAGAAUUGAUAAACUGCCGUACUCUAUCCGGAUUCUUCUUGAGUCUGCAAUCCGGAACUGCGACAACUUCCAGGUCACCAAGAAUGAUGUCGAGAAAAUUAUUGAUUGG